AAAUGAAGUUUUAUACGGUAAUCUGUCAGGUUGACGAGGUAAAUUAUGAUUCCGUCAGGUUGACGAGGUAAUUAAUGGUAUUUUAUGGUAUUCCGUCAGGUUGACGAGGUUUA